GCAUUAAGUGCCCCGGAGGUGCAGUAACGAGGAGCAUCACGGGAAGCGCUGCCGGCCGAGCCGAGGGGCUGCUCGCAGCCUCCCCUCUCACCUCUGCCAGGUAGCUGCCGAAGCAGUCGGCGAUCUGUCUAGACCUAUUUGCUGCCAGAGACCAGCACUUCAUUACGCCUCCUGCCGUAUGAUUCCAGCAGACAACUAGUCUCCUGAAGAAGCAGCGGCCGCCCUGCAUUCCUGCAUCAGCCUCAAGAGAUGCGGCUGAAGGCAUUUACGUGCUGGAAGGAGCGAGGAGUCAGCCCUCCACAGGUGUUUUCUGCAGUGGAGCUGGGCUCAAGGGGCUGUGAUGCCUCAGCCUGGGGCUCUUGUGACUGCAACAUCCACAGGGAAUGAAGCAGCCUUUUGAGACCUCUUGGAGACUUGAAGGAAGAGAGUUGUUCUGACAUCUGUAGAGACAUUUUCACCUCUUCAGGGCUCUGGGGCCAGGAGGAGAUUCACUUGUUUUCUGCCUCAGAACAGCAAUGUACAAGCUUGAAAACUGUGGAGUUUCUCCAGAUAUUCCCCUGCUUUUGCCUGCUAUUCCUGAAGAGCAUUUCUACUCCUUAUCAGUAUGUAUACAAAAGAGAGCAAAUAAGAGCAGGAUUUAGCCCAUCAGGUACAGGGUCUUGGUCUGCUGCAAAAUGUGAUGUUUCUGGCCUCCCGUCCUGGCUGUUGAAUUCAGGAGCCAAUUGGAAGAAACAAAUGGUCCAGACCCUGACCACUUUAGUAGUGAAAUGUCACAUUCAGCUCCCUGGAUAAGAACUGGGUGGAGCCAUGGAAAACAUACGUACAUUUGGACUGCUAAUGGACCCAGGGCUUGUGAAAAUUUCCCUCCAAAAUGAAGGAGAAAUUCUUGUCCCAGCCUGUGAAAUACCUCUUCUCUGGAUCAUGACAUGACUGUAUUGCACCAGCAAUGCUCUGCAACCCAGCUUCCCCUUCUCAGUGACCUUGGGAACCAGGACUCUCUUGUUCAGUGGCAGAAUUAGAAAGAUUAAUUAAUUCUGCCAUGUAUGGCAUAAUGGCUUGCUUCCGUUGCUCACCAAGCUGAGCAUUUUGUCCCGAUUCUUCCUUGUGACAAACCAUGGUGACAUUUACCUCCUCGCUGGCCCCAGUGCUUGUGCCUGAUGCUGGGAAAGAGGGCCCUGGGACAUAACUCCCUCUGCUGCUUCCCCUCCACUGCCGAUUUGCCAACAAACCUCAAAAGCAGUCAUGAGAAAUGUGCAGGCUUGUUAUCUUCCACCUUGACCAGUGUUAUUUUGUAUGCAGGUUGGAUGGCAUCUGCAAAAAAACACACAAACCUCUCCAAUUUAAUGGGGCGUGAUAGCCAUCUCACAAGGAAGAGGAGUAUCUCACAUACCAGCCAUGCAUGUGCCUGGAGAGCCUCUUUCACAUCGGUCAGCAGAGAUACAGCUUCCUUGUGCCAUAUUUGUGUGAUGCAGCAUCUCACCUGUCCUACGGGAAAGCAAAAACAGAACUGUAAGCUAAGGCUGUUUGUGCCCUGUAGGGCUAAAUGUCUGUGGAGCAGUACAAGUUGUAAUGGCUGAAAAGCAUGUCUGUGCUGAUGUAAUAGCAACCACUGGGCUUGCUAAAAGGGAAAGAUGAUGUGCACCAUGUGCACCGUGUUGUUGGAUUAUAUCUUCCCUUUCCCAAGUGGAAACAACAUUGCUGUGUUUGUUAGUGUUGAUUUUAGUCAGUUUUAUUUGCUUGUUCCCUCUGCCCAAUAAAGCUAAUUACUGGAUGUUUUUAAAAGAAAAUUAAUUUUUUGGUCUCUUCUAAAUUUUGUAAAAUUCCACUGGAAAAAUAAUUUUAAUAUAAUGUAGAUUUAAUUUAAUUAAUAUAAUGUAAAUUUCAUAGUAAAGGUGGAGAGAUUCACUGUGAGCAUUUUCUGUUGAACUGCAGGAAUAGGCCAGCCAGACAAUUUUUCGGCUUUCUGUGCUUUGAUGAAUGGGUUCAGUUUUAGAAUACCUGAAAAACUUUCCUCAAAGAAGAAAAAAAAAAUAUCUAAGUUUAGAAAUACACUCAGAUGCUUUAUAGAUGUUUAAUAUGCUUCUCCAAACAUAAAAGAAAUGUUUUGUUUCUGGUUGAGUAGAAUGUUACGUUUGACCCAGAAUGAAUUGUGGGUAAAAUUCCAAUAAAUUUGAAGCAAUAAUUUGCCCUGACAGUCCUUGUUUUAAAAAAAUAAAAAAAAUAAAAAAUGA